rnacentral:lncRNA from 1 species
UUGCCGAUUUGCCUCAACAAGUUUUUGGCGCCGUUGUCGGGGACUCACAGUUUAAGCUAUCUUAUUUGUGUGAUUUUUGAUUAAUUUUGACUUUAUUUAAAUCUUAUUUUAUUUUCUUAUUUUUAUUUUCCCCAUUUUUCAUUUUUUAAUUUUAUCCCUAAUUUUUUUUUUACUAACAAUCUCUCUCUAGGAUUUUUGUGCAGGAUGCAUGUUGUUCUAGAUAAUUUCAACAACUGGUGGGGAUCUCACUCAAGCAUGAAGCAAAGAAAUAAUAGUACAAAGAUUGAGGAGACCCUCCAAUAGUUCAGAAAUUGGACUAUAUCAAGAAUCUCUCUCGAUUCAGAAAAGCACUCAGACAACAUCUAAAAGCAU